AUGGAGGCAACUCUGAACCAGCCAUGCCGCGUGCAGGAUGACGGUCCUAUGGAUUGUAAACUGCUUUUGUACAGGAAGAAACCUCCCUACGAGUAGGGACUUGACGGUACUGUAAGAAUAAGGAUCGGCUAACUCCGUGCCAGCAGCCGCGGUAAUACGGAGGAUCCGAGCGUUAUCCGGAAUUAUUGGGUUUAAAGGGUUCGUAGGCGGCUUUGUAAGUCAGUGGUGAAAUUUCCUAGCUUAACUAGGACACUGCCAUUGAUACUGCAGAGCUUGAAUAAUAUGGAAGUAACUAGAAUAUGUAGUGUAGCGGUGAAAUGCUUAGAUAUUACAUGGAAUACCAAUUGCGAAGGCAGGUUACUACGUAUUUAUUGACGCUGAUGAACGAAAGCGUGGGGAGCGAACAGGAUUAGAUACCCUGGUAGUCCACGCCGUAAACGAUGGAUACUAGCUGUUCGGUUUUCGGACUGAGUGGCUAAGCGAAAGUGAUAAGUAUCCCACCUGGGGAGUACGUUCGCAAGAAUGAAACUCAAAGGAAUUGACGGGGGCCCGCACAAGCGGUGGAGCAUGUGGUU
rnacentral:rRNA from 1 species